GUGCCAGCCGCUGCGGUAAUACGGAGGGUGCAAGCGUUAAUCGGAAUUACUGGGCGUAAAGCGCACGCAGGCGGUCUGUCAAGUCGGAUGUGAAAUCCCCGGGCUCAACCUGGGAACUGCAUUCGAAACUGGCAGGCUAGAGUCUUGUAGAGGGGGGUAGAAUUCCAGGUGUAGCGGUGAAAUGCGUAGAGAUCUGGAGGAAUACCGGUGGCGAAGGCGGCCCCUGGACAAAGACUGACGCUCAGGUGCGAAAGCGUGGGGAGCAAACAGGAUUAGAUACCCUGGUAGUCCACGCCGUAAACGAUGUCGAUUUGGAGGUUGUGCCCUUGAGCGUGGCUUCCGGAGCUAACGCGUUAAAUCGACCGCCUGGGGAGUACGGCCGCAAGGUUAAAACUCAAAUGAAUUGACGGGGCCGCACAAGCGGUGGAGCAUGUGGUUAACUCGAUGCAACGCGAAGAACCUUACCUGGUCUUGACAUCCACAGAACUUAGCAGAGAUGCUUUGGUGCCUUCGGGAACUGUGAGACGAGGUCG
rnacentral:rRNA from 1 species